rnacentral:rRNA from 1 species
AGAGUUUGAUCAUGGCUCAGGAUGAACGCUAGCGGCAGGCCUAAUACAUGCAAGUCGAACGGUAACAUGAAUAGCAAUAUUUGAUGACGAGUGGCGCACGGGUGCGUAACGCGUAUGCAAUCUACCUUCAACUGGUGAAUAGCCCGAAGAAAUUCGGAUUAAUACACCAUAAUAUAAUAGAGUGGCAUCACUUUAUUAUUAAAACUACGGUGGUUGAAGAUGAGCAUGCGUGACAUUAGCUAGUUGGUGAGGUAACGGCUCACCAAGGCUACGAUGUCUAGGGGAUCUGAGAGGAUUAACCCCCACACUGGUACUGAGACAGGGACCAGACUCCUACGGGAGGCAGCAGUAAGGAAUAUUGGACAAUGGUCGCAAGACUGAUCCAGCCAUGCCGCGUGCAGGAUGACAGCCCUAUGGGUCGUAAACUGCUUUUGUACGGGAAAAAACCUCUUUACGUGUAAAGAGCUGAUUGUACUGUAAGAAUAAGGAUCGGCUAACUCCGUGCCAGCAGCCGCGGUAAUACGGAGGAUCCAAGCGUUAUCCGGAUUCAUUGGGUUUAAAGGGUGCGUAGGCGGAAUGAUAAGUCAGUGGUGAAAGCCUGUUGCUUAACAACAGAACUGCCAUUGAUACUGUCAAUCUUGAGUACAUUUGAUGUGGGCGGAAUGUGUCAUGUAGCGGUGAAAUGCUUAGAUAUGACACAGAACACCGAUUGCGAAGGCAGCUCACAAAACUGUAACUGACGCUGAGGCACGAAAGCGUGGGUAUCAAACAGGAUUAGAUACCCUAGUAGUCC